rnacentral:rRNA from 1 species
GCGGACGGGUGAGUAACGCGUGGGUAACCUGCCUUAUACUGGGGGAUAACAGCCAGAAAUGGCUGCUAAUACCGCAUAAGCGCACAGGACCGCAUGGUCCGGUGUGAAAAACUCCGGUGGUAUAAGAUGGACCCGCGUUGGAUUAGCUAGUUGGCAGGGCAGCGGCCUACCAAGGCGACGAUCCAUAGCCGGCCUGAGAGGGUGAACGGCCACAUUGGGACUGAGACACGGCCCAGACUCCUACGGGAGGCAGCAGUGGGGAAUAUUGCACAAUGGGGGAAACCCUGAUGCAGCGACGCCGCGUGAAGGAAGAAGUAUCUCGGUAUGUAAACUUCUAUCAGCAGGGAAGAUAAUGACGGUACCUGACUAAGAAGCCCCGGCUAACUACGUGCCAGCAGCCGCGGUAAUACGUAGGGGGCAAGCGUUAUCCGGAUUUACUGGGUGUAAAGGGAGCGUAGACGGCGCAGCAAGUCUGAUGUGAAAGGCAGGGGCUUAACCCCUGGACUGCAUUGGAAACUGUUGAGCUUGAGUGCCGGAGGGGUAAGCGGAAUUCCUAGUGUAGCGGUGAAAUGCGUAGAUAUUAGGAGGAACACCAGUGGCGAAAGCGGCUUACUGGACGGUAACUGACGUUGAGGCUC